CCCCCCCCGACAGGAGUGAAAUCUAAGCGUGUGGACAUAGUAAUAUUGGACUUACCUGACUUCUCCCUGCCCUUUCUUCCAUCUGCUUCCUUUACUAUCAAAAGAAUCUAAUUCCGGAAAUAGGCAUGCUCUCCAUUUGUUUGAUUAUUUUUAUUGCAAGUAUGUUCGUGACACCCUUCCCCGGAACACUCUCGACCAGGUCCUGAGGAAAUGGGAGAAGGAAAUGCCCAGGUCCUUAUAGUAGACGCGAGUUCAGAGUAGCUGACUCAGAUGAACGUCAGUGAGUUCAAAUUCCAAAGCAGUUUUUAAUCCCAUGCCUUGAGCUGGGUCAGGAGGUUGAUAAUUAGCAAGGACAUGUGUCCAGCCCUCGCAGACUCAGGAUGUAAAGAUCUGGAGAUUUUGUUUGAAUGAAUAUUCCAACGCUAAAACGUUAUUCUAUUACAGUUAAAAAAAAAAACUGGGCAAGAUCUUAUGAAAUGCUUCACUCUUUUUUUUUAAAUAAAAAUUUAUUAUUAAAAAUAAUUUAAGGCUAAGAGAAGGGGGGCCAGGAAUAAAAGUGGGAAGUUGUCAAUGAGCUUUUUUUGUUAUUAUAAGCUCCAAGAAAUUCUGUUAAUGCUGGUCAUAUUAGCUAGUGUGAAGAUUUUCUCAAGGCCUGAAAUCUACGGCAUGCAAUUUACGAAGCUGCGGCACCAGUGCCAGGGAACAUUCCUCUGUAAAGGAAGAAGGAGGCGGAAUGUGAUGGUUAUUUUGAUUUGCCUUUCCUGGCUGAGGUCUCUGAAAUCACUCUCAACACAACAGGACUCCUCCUUUGGGGAGGGUCUCCCUCUCCCACCAACCUUGCAGGUUCAGGAGGGGAUACUGGGGGCAGGAAUUUGCUCCACCCACUAAAUGAGACCAGAUGAUGCUGGCAUUUAGUGGAGUGACAGGUGGGGCUUCAGAGCUCACUCAAGCCGUUCCUUGCUUUUCCCUCUUCUGUCCCUCUCGUUAGUGCAGAGAAAUCGCGUCUUUAAGCUUCUUGAAUGGAUGUGAUUCCAACUCUGCCAUCCCAAGCGUGGCGGGGGUAACAGUAGGAGUGAGAGGGAAAUACCAAUAUUAGUGGGGCCUGCCAGUUUCUACAUGUGCAGGUCCCAGAGGAAGCUUGAGCUGGGAGGGUGUGGGGUGCCUGCUCUUCCCUUAGGAAGGGAGUGUCCUCCUCCUCCCGAGUAAGUGCAAUUUACAAAGGCAUAUGUUUUUCUUAUACUGUACCAUGGCACCUAAAUGCAAGCCAACUUUACAUCUAUUAGAGUAUUCAAAGAAGUGGUCAUCUCUAUACUCCACAGUGCCCUUAUGCGGAUGCCUAAAGAGACUUGAAAAGAAUCCUCACGGCAGCAAUGGGUGGACACAGUGAUCAAGUGCAUAUGUAUAAAAUGGCCAAAAGGAGAAUUGGUUCUGGCUGGGCCUGAAGCUACAGACGAUCGCUUUGCCAUUCACAUGGAGACAGCCUGCCUGAAAGUAAUGGCAAUAUAGAGGAAGGGAGAUCCAAGAAAUAGAGAAUGGCACACUCCGGAUAACCCUUCUUGCCACCUGAAUCCAGCUGUGCCUGAAGUCAGCAGUAAACUUGGAUGCUUCAGUUACAAAAAGUGAUAUAAUGCUUCAUGCCAAGUCAUCCACCGAACACCGUGCAACCAGGGACAGGCUGAGUCGUCUAGAGAUGCGAAAGGAAAAUUUUGUAAGCUGGUUGCGUAAUCAUCGUUCCUUGUUAGUGCUAGUACCUAAGAGGACUGUCUUCCUUUUCUAGCUUUCCAGAGAGCUGUGUGCCCUCAGGAAGCAAGUCCAGUAGGGAUCUAUCCCCAAGAAUAUGGACAUUAAACCGGUGCAGGGCCCAGAACCACACAGAAGCUGGGAGAGACACAGCUGCGCCCAUUCAGUGAGGCAUCUGGCAUUUCAAGACAUAAAGAUGAAGAGAUGCCAAAAUAGGGGUUACCUAAAUUUAUGAAAUAUUUUUCUUUCUUUCUUUUUUUUUUUUUUUUCAGAGACAGGGUCUCAUUCUGUCACCCCAGCUGGAGUGUAGUGGUUGCAUCAUGGCUCACUGCAACCUUGACCUCCCAGGCUCAAGUGAUCUUCCCACCUCAGCCUCCUGAGUAGCUGGGAACUAUAGGCAGGUCCCACCAUGCCUGGCUAAUUUUUUUUUUUUAAAUAUUUUGUAGAGACAGGGUCUCCUUAUGUUGCCCGGGCUGGUCUUGAACUCCUGGUUUCAAGUGGUACUCCAGGCUUGGCCCCCCAAAGUGCUGGGAUUACAGGCAUAAGUCACCACUGGUCUCCUUGGAAUAUUUUCAGUGUUAUAUUGAACAGAAUAAAAGCUAGAAUACACAAACAAAAUUACUGUUCAUUGCAAGGACAUCAUGCUGUAUACAAGACUAUGAAGUUAAUAAACAUAUUAUCUUAGAAUGAGCUAGAGGCAGCAUGAUCUGUGGAUGGGUACAUAAGUGUAAAAUUGUCCUAUUAUGAAUGCAUUCCUAUGAGUUCAUGCAAUCUUUCUGGAGAUGACAUCAAAAGUCAAUAUGAGGCCAAGGCCACAUGUCCCUUGGCUCUUCACAGCCAACCCUACAGAUGACAUUAAGUUAAUAAAAAAACUAAGAUUUUUUUUUUUUUGAGUUUUGCUCUUGUUGCCCAGGCUGGAGUGCCGUGGCACUAUCUCUGAUCACUGUGACCUCUGCCUCCUGAGUUCAAGCGAUUCUCCUGCCUCAGCCUCCUGAGUAGCUGGGAUUACAGGCACGUGCCACCACAUCUGGCUAUUUUGUUGUAUUUUUAGUAGAGAUGGGGUUUUACCAUGUUGGUUAGGGUGGUCUCAAAUUCCUGACCUCAGGUGAUCUGCCUGCGUCAGCCUCCUAAAGUGCUGGGAUUACUGGCAUGAGCCACCGCGUCCGGCCAAAAAAAAUUAAGAUUUAAAAACAUGAUUAGGUUGUGUCUUGUGCUUCCUGCCUCAGUUGGCCUGGAAGAGAAGGGCAGUGUGGUGUAACGGAACGAAUGCUAACGUGAUGGGGACCCAAGGGAAUUCAAUGUUUGCUCUGUGGCUUUGCCUCAACCAGUUGUGAGAGCACGGGGGAAAUCACUUACUAUCUUCGGAUUUCCCCAUCUAUAAAGAUGUAAGUGUUGGACGAUGGCCUUGUAAGUUUCUUCUAAAACUUUGUGAUCACAUCAGUUCCGUGUGAACGGUCUAGGUACUAGGUAUAAAGUGGUGAGAAAAAUCACCUUACGCAGAUGAUUCCUGAGCACAGGGAAUGAGGUAGGUGGUGAAGACAGAGAGGUGAGAGGAUAAAGGGGGUGGGGUUUAUGUGUAUGUUGAUAAUAAGCAAAAAUACCCACUCUACAAUGUUAGAGGGGGCAAAUGCAAUGAAGAGCAAUGAGCAAGGAAGGAGCUAGGAAGUGGUCAGGAAGGCCUCUCUGGCCAUCAGUGCUUCCCAAAUGAUUGGAUAUUUUUUUAAAAAGACACUAAUAAAGGAUGUGCUAUAGAGCGGGUGGAGAACUCAGUGGGUAGGAGAGCCACUGAAGAAUCUACUAGAUAAAGGAAAUGACUCCCUGAUGAGUGAAGAGUCAGAAAGGGGAAACGAGGUCGGCGCACUGCCUCAGUGACUGUAAUUCCAGCACUUUGAUAGGCAGAGUUGGGAGGAGCACUUGAGUCCAGGAGUUUGAGACUGGCCUGGGCAACAUUAGUGAGACCCUGUCGCUACAAACAAUCAAAAAUUAGCCAGGUGUGUGGCGUGCAUGCCUGUGGUUCCAGCUAUUCGAGAGGCUGGGGCAGGAGGAUCACUUGAGCCCAGGAGGUCAAGGCUUCAGUGAGCCAUGAUCAUGCCACUGCAGAGGGAGAUCCUAUCAAAAAAAAAAAAAAAACCCAACAACAAAACAAAACACGAAAGGGGAAAGAAGAACUGUGUUAGAUUCCAGUAGCACUUGUGAGAUGCCAUCAGGCUGGCCUGGAUUUGAAUCCCACUAGAGUUAGAGUUGGGAUUCAAAUCCCACCUCUAGCGACCUCAAGUCCCACCACCUCCCUGAUCCUGAAUCUGCAUUUGUAAAAGGAGAAUAAAAGGAAGCUUUAGCCGGGUGCGGUGGCUUACCCCUGUAAUCCCACCACUUUGGGAGGCCGUGGUGGGUGAAUCAUAAGGUCAGGAGUUAGAGAACAGCCUGACCAACAUGAUAAAAACCCGUCUCUACUAAAAAUACAAAAAUUAGCUGGGCCUGGUGGUGUGCGCCUAUAAUCCCAGCUACUCAGGAGACGGAGGCAGGAGAAUCGCUUGAACCCGGGAGGUGGAGGUUGCAGGGAGCUGAGAUCAUGCCAUUGCACUCCAGCCUGAGUGACAGAGCAAGACUCUGUCUCAAAAAAAAAAAAAAAAAAAAAAAAGAGGAAGCUUCAGAUGUCUCUAAAGAGCUUAGAACAGAAGGACACAUGAAUAAACGCCCAAUAUUAGAAUAAAUGCUAUUAUUAGAAAUUGCUCAUACUGAGGAUCAACUAAGCUGUACUUAAUCAUACUUUCUAUGUAACUUCCUUUCACCCUCCCCCAAACAAGCUAUGACCCCAUUUUAUGGAUGAGGUAAGUGACUGAGUCAAAUGAUCCCGACGGGUUCAAGACUGAAGGAAGUGGUGGGGUCAAGGCAUGAAUGUUGGUCAUCAUUAGUACUUGUCCUCCAGCAGCGCCAGGGGAGGUUAUAAUGACCCAACUGCUUAACAAGAAUGUCAGCCCAGACCAGCAUCAGCUGCAGAGUGGCUGGGCUUUUCCGGCAGUAGACAGUGAAGAAAUAUCAUAUUUGACAGAAAAACAUUCCGUUGUCAUUCAACAUGAACGUGUUUUAUAGACAUGUAAUUUACAUACAUCACAAUGUACCAAUGCUGUCUUGUUUUAAAUUUGCCUUUUCUCGAAUUUCAUAUAAAUGGAAUCAUAUAUUUCUUUCCGGAACAUGUUUUUGAGAUUCAUCCCUGUCCUUGAGUAUAUUAAUAAUUCCUUCCCUUACCAAUUGAUGGACCACAAUUUGUUAUUUAUUUACCAGAUGAUGGACAGUUGGGCUCUUUCUAGUUGUUGGCUAUGAAAAAAGCUGCUGUAAAUAUUUAUGUACAAGUUUUUGUGUAGAUGUACAUUUUUAUUUUUCCUAGGUAAUACCUGGGAUUGAGUUUAAUUAAGACUUACCGUAAAUCUACAAUCACCAGGACAGUGUG